rnacentral:lncRNA from 1 species
AUUAGACCGCGGAGUGUACAGACAGGAAGCUGAAGUAUUGAGCGCCUGACCAGAGCUUCCUCCUGUGCAAGAGUGGGGGUUUCUCCAACUUGAAUCUUUAGCUCUACGUGCACGGUCCGAGUCUUGAAGUCCAAAGGAUAGAAAGCACCCAAAUCUCUCAGCUGGGUCCUCCGAGCAUGGAGAACGGAUUGCUGCACUUAAGCCCGGCUUGCAAGAUCGUGUCUGACAUGUACGGCCGGACCAGUCAUUUCUGGCGCUCGGUUCCACUACGUGUAUCAGGAAUUGGUUCGGGUGAGCAGUCCAUAGUGCCACGCGCUGGAAGACAGCACGUGCCUCGUGCCCAGCAUCUGCAACGUGUGCCUGGUUGGAUACCUGAGCGGAGGGAGAAAGCACUGCUGGAUUUGGGACCGGCUCCAUACGUGAAGAGCUCUUUUUUUUUUUUGUUCGGUGGAGGAGGACUACGAAAGUCAACGUGUUCUGCCUGGGCUGAAGGCAUCGUGGGCUUGAUGCAUUUGAAGGGUUCAGGAGGAGGAAUCCCUGCGGGCAGUUCCUUGUCUGACAUUGCUGACAGUCUUCAUGGAUGUGACUUGAAGAGUCACUACCGCAGCAGGGCUGGGCUGCAGGCAGAUAUCUCGCUUUACGUCAGCAGUGAUCUCCUUGGUGAGCUGUGCCCCAGUGACCAGUUAGAAAAAGCAAACAAGCAGAAUGUAUUGAAUCACAGAAUCAUAGAAUCACUGAGGUUGGAGAAAAGAUCUAAGAUCAUCAGGUCCAACCAUCCACCCACCACCACUAUUGCCCACUGA